CCUCAUCUCUGUGUCUCCACAGGCAGAGUGAUGUGUGGUCUGGGUGCUGCUCCUCUCCUGCUGGCCACCAUUGUACUGUGUGUGAAAUGGUACAGGAGACCAGGGCCGUCUAAUGAACCAGCUGUCCGCUACACUGGAGGGAAUGUGGAAAUUGCCAUAUAAAACACACAGAGGCUGGGUCCGUGUACUUAUGUGAAAUGAGAAUGAAGUCUGAGAGCUCAGGACUCUUUUUUCAUCAUUGUGAUGUUUCCCAGCUUGCAGGAGGGGAAAUUGGGAGUGCAGUCAUGGGGGCAUUUUAGGGAAUGGGAACAGGAAGAUGUUGUGUCUUUAAAGCGCAGCAUCUGUACAAUAUGAGCAGAGUUUCUGAUUCACCUGGGCUGCACUUGUGAUCUUCCUGUAGUUAGUUUGCUUUGAUUGCUGUAUGUUUGUUCUAGGUUAGGUCACUGAUGCAGUAAAUUGACAUAAAUUGACUGAAAUUGAAUAUGUUUGUCACCAUGUGUCUGUAUGUAUUAAAUUGGAUAGAUGUUAAA